rnacentral:rRNA from 1 species
UGGGUGAUCUGCCCUGCACUUUGGGAUAAGCCUGGGAAACUGGGUCUAAUACCGGAUAUACCUCAUGGACUGCAUGGUUUGUGGGGGAAAGCUUUUGCGGUGUGGGAUGGGCCCGCGGCCUAUCAGCUUGUUGGUGAGGUUACGGCUCACCAAGGCGACGACGGGUAGCCGGCCUGAGAGGGUGACCGGCCACACUGGGACUGAGAUACGGCCCAGACCUCCGUACGGGGAGGCA